rnacentral:rRNA from 1 species
AUGGGGCGCACCAGGCGCGAAAACUUUACAAUGCGAGAAAUCGUGAUAAGGGAACCCCGAGUGCCCGUAAAUUCGGGCUGUCCNUCAGUGUAAAUAACUGGUGAAGAAAGGGCCGGGCAAGACCGGUGCCAGCCGCCGCGGUAAUACCGGCGGCUCGAGUGGUGGCCACUAUUACUGGGCUUAAAGCGUCCGUAGCUUGGUUGUUAAGUCUCCUGGGAAAUCCAUCGGCUCAACCGAUGGGCGUUCAGGGGAUACUGGCAACCUAGGGACCGGGAGAGGUGAGAGGUACUCCAGGGGUAGGAGUGAAAUCCUGUAAUCCUUGGGGGACCACCUGUGGCGAAGGCGUCUCACUAGAACGGCUCCGACAGUGAGGGACGAAAGCUGGGGGAGCAAACCGGAUUAGAUACCCGGGUAGUCCCAGCCGUAAACGAUGCGCGUUAGGUGUAUCGGUGACCACGAGUCACCGAGGUGCCGAAGGGAAACCGUGAAACGUGCCGCCUGGGAAGUACGGUCGCAAGGCUGAAACUUAAAGGAAUUGGCGGGGGAGCAC